GGUUCUAUGGUGUAAUGGUUAGCACAUGAGGUUCUGAUCGGUAAUUGGAUGCAUACUACAAAGUAGCAUCUAAACGGUAUAGACCUCCUCAUGAUCCCGGUUCGAUUCCGGGUAGGACCU
rnacentral:tRNA from 1 species